rnacentral:rRNA from 1 species
UACGCAGGCGGAAAAUUAAGUCAGUAGUGAAAUCCUGCAGCUUAACUGUAGAACUGUUAUUGAUACUGGUUUUCUUGAAUUUAGUUGAGGUAGGCGGAAUGUGUAAUGUAGCGGUGAAAUGCUUAGAUAUUACACAGAACACCGAUUGCGAAGGCAGCUUACUAAGCUAUGAUUGACGCUGAGGUACGAAAGCGUGGGGAGCGAACAGGAUUAGAUACCCUGGUAGUC